ACCGCGAGCUCAUUUCCUCCUCUUUCAGAUAUGGCGGCGAGCUGGGGAGGCCGCGCGUGGACCAGCGGGGACCAUCCACCGCCAUCCUUCUUCGCUGGGGCUCUCCCGCCGCUCGGCCCGCCGCAUCGGCGACCCGUGGACAUCGCGCCCGGCGGCGGUGCUUCAGUGUGCUCCGAGGACUGCGAAGGGCAGCCUGGACUUGCCCCCAUCCUCCUCCACAGGCCGGGCCCGGCCCUGGAAGCUCAAGACUGUUUUUCCGCAGCAGGAUUCUAGCGUAGAAGCUGAUCCCGGGGCAUGGGAUGGCUGGUGACAGCCUCAGCUUCGGGCAGGGGUCCUGGGUGUUCCAGAGCUCACCCCAUGUGAUGGAUAAACCCAGGUGAGAAGGUGUGUCCUGUGCUGAGAGGGGCCACUAGGAAGACAGGCUGUGCUGGCCUCACUAUUUUGAGAAGUCUGGUUGCAAAGGAAACUCCUAGUCAGGAGAAGGGCAGGUACUCUGUGGAAAAGGGUGAGAACCUGUGAGCCCUGUCCCAAGGGCUUCAGCUUGCUUCCCAUAGGACCUGAGUUGUGGGGAAGCUGCAGUGGGGAGCAUGUCUAAGCAAAGGGUGAUCAUCCCUGAAGGGCUUGGUGCUGCAGUGCCAGACUGUUCUUUCCCAGCCCUUUCCUCCAGAAGUGGGAGCUCUGCAGAGCCAGAUCCUGGCUCCUUCUGGAGCUGUGAGCUCCAUCAAAUUGGAUCAGCCCCUUCUGGGCUCCACUCACCUGCAGUGGAGGGAGAUUCAACUAGUUUGGCUCCAGGUGUUGCUCAAGCUCCCAUUCAGAUGCUCCACAUGGAAGAACAGUCUGUUCAUGGAGUUUUCUCAGGAGGGGGUCUGGACAGCAAAUACUUGGUUAGAGCAGGGAGCCAGUAAUGCCAAGGUGGUCACUUAAGAGCUGGACUCUGAGAUCCCCAUGGGUCCCUUCCAGCUUGGGAUAUUCUGUGUGUGUGAUAGGAAUUUGAAUAAAUGCAAUUACUUCGAA